CCUCUAAGGCUACUGGCAAGAGUGUAAUGUCCAUGGACCACACUGCCAAUAAUCCUCAGGGACGAGAACAAUCAGCAGGAGGCAACAAAAAUGCAGAUAACAACAUUGAGGUAAGUUCUACAUGCACUAAUCAAUCCAAUUUAGCUAACACUCAUAAUGCAGGUAAGGUGCUCGUCAAAAUUCCUCAAAGCAAUGAAAUGAGCACACACCAAACUGCAGGGAAGAGGGAC
rnacentral:lncRNA from 1 species